GGGGUUGUGACUCAGCGGUAGAGUACUUGCCUACCACGCAUGAGGUGCUGGGUUCGAUCCUCAGCACCA
rnacentral:tRNA from 1 species